rnacentral:tRNA from 1 species
GGGGCAGUAGUAUAGCUUAGUUAGUAUUCCAGCUUCGGGGGUUGGUGGCCCAGGUGCGAAUCCUGGCUGCCCCA